UUAAGUUCAGCGGGUAGUCCUACCUGAUUUGAGGUCAAAAUGUCAAAGAUUGUCCUUUUGAAAAGGACGGUUAUAAGCAGGUUCCCAUAAGUUUGCUUCAAAGUCAAGAUGGCGUAGAUAAUUAUCACAACCAAGUGACGGUCCGCAAGAGAUCCCACUAAUGCAUUUCAAGGGAGCUGACCAUCCACUGAAGGAAGCCG
rnacentral:misc_RNA from 1 species